ensembl:snRNA U6 U6 spliceosomal RNA
GUGUUUGAUUCAGCAGCACAUAUAUUAAAAUUGGAAUGAUACAGAGAAGAGUAGCAUGUCCCAUGUGCAAGAAUGACACACAAUUUCGUGAAGCAUUCCAUACUGUU